rnacentral:rRNA from 1 species
AUUGAACGCUAGCGGGAUGCUUUACACAUGCAAGUCGAACGAGUGGCGGAGGGGUGAGUAAUAUAUCGGAACGUGCCCAGUAGCGGGGGAAAACUACGAGAAGGAGUGGCUAAUACCGCAAAAUAUUGGGGAGGCCGAUAUGGGAUUAGCUAGUUGGUGGGGUAAAGGCUCACCAAGGCAACGAUCCGUAGCUGGUUUGAGAGGACGACCAGCCACACUGGGACUGAGAAACGGCCCAGACUCCUACGGGAGGCAGCAGUGGGGAAUUUUGGACAAUGGGGGCAACCCUGAUCCAGCCAUCCCGCGUGUAUGAGAAGGCCUUCGGGUUGUAAAGUACUUUUGGCAGAGAAGCGGUAUCUGCAGAAUAAGCACCGGCUAACUACGUGCCAGCAGCCGCGGUAAUUC